rnacentral:rRNA from 1 species
UACGUAGGGGGCAAGCUUUGUCCGGAAUCAUUGGGCGUAAAGAGCGUGUAGGCGGUUCUGUAAGUCGGCUGUGAAAGUCCAGGGCUCAACCCUGGGAUGCCGGUCGAUACUGCCGGACUAGAGUUCGGAAGAGGCGAGUGGAAUUCCCGGUGUAGCGGUGAAAUGCGCAGAUAUCGGGAGGAACACCUAUGGCGAAGGCAGCUCGCUGGGACGUUACUGACGCUGAGACGCGAAAGCGUGGGGAGCAAACAGG